rnacentral:rRNA from 1 species
GUGUCAGCAGCCGCGGUAAUACGUAGGGGGCGAGCGUUGUCCUGGUUCAUUGGGCGUAAAGGGUGCGUAGGCGGUUUUUUAAGUGGGAUGUGAAAUACCUAGGCUUAACUUAGGAAUGGCAUUCCAAACUGGAAGACUAGAGUGCAGGAGAGGAAAGUGGAAUUCCCAGUGUAGCGGUGAAAUGCGUAGAGAUUGGGAGGAACACCAGUGGCGAAGGCGACUUUCUGGACUGUAACUGACGCUGAGGCACGAAAGCGUGGGGAGCAAACAGGAUUAGAAACCCCUGUAGUCC